rfam:Mangrovibacter sp. MFB070 Contig-025, whole genome shotgun sequence.
UGGCGCUUGAGGCUUUUUGCCUUAUGGCGUUUCAGGUGGUUUGUGCCGCGUUGUGAGGCAGAAAGCAGAAAGCCCCGAGUAAUUUUUCAAUUAACCCGAGGCCCACUGUAUGCCUAGACAACAUCAGUAUGGCUUCUUACCGUGCAUUAUGCAAGGAGGCGUAACCCAUG